AUGUCUAAUUCAUCUUCCUCCGCCGUGCGGGAGGAGAUUCUGCCCCUCAUCCCGUGCCCCGACUGCGGCGACCGGCUUAUGACCUGGAUUGCUCAGGGUGGAGCGAACGCUGGGCAUCGGUUCUAUAAGUGCGUUAACAGAGAGGUUGGGUUAUGCGGAUUCAUAAUCGUCAUUUUUGGCACUGAUCAGCAGCCACUCCAAGCAACUCAUCAGCCGGCACCCUCCGUGCAUCGUAGAGCUCGUCUUCCGGACUCAAAUCAGGACCUGAACCGUGCAUUUCAGCAGGCACGCAAUAUACGUGCUGAUCCACAAGGCAGGGAGGCUUGCCGCUGGGUGAAUUAA
rnacentral:rRNA from 1 species